rnacentral:lncRNA from 1 species
GUGAAUAGAGGGAAAAAGGAAAAAAAAACAAGAAAACAAAAAUGGAAGGGGGCCCACUGAAAAUUUCUUCUUUAUGAUCUUUUUAUUCUAUAUUCAGAAAACACAUACAAGGGGGAUCAUUCUUGGUCAUCAUCUUCGUCUUUUCUUCUUAAAAAGGGACGACACAAUUGGCUUGAAUUUUUUUUUUCUUUCACUGACCCUCAAGCCUAUCACACUCUCCAUCACCAUAUUCACAUAGCACACAAUUCAUCAUCUUUCACGGGAAAUUUCCAUAUAUACACACACAGAGAAAUAUCUAAGGGGGAAGGAAUACACAGCUCAUCGGCUUUCCUUUUUCUUCAUCAUAAUUACACAAUUUCCACACAGAAAGAGCAUAAAGAGAGAGAUAUCCAUUUUUUCCCUGACCCUCAUUGGAAUAUGCACACACACGGAUGGGGUAGACAAAGCUUAAAUCGAGAGGGAUAGGGAGAGAGAGGAGAGAAAAUAAGCAUCUCCUACCAGUACUGUUUCAGUGAUUAUUCUCUUUGCUGAAAAAGAUGAAAUCUCAUCGGAGACGCCAUCUCUACCGGUAAACUGACACCAAAAAGCCACCCGUUCUUCCGACUCUCCAAAAAAGGGUCAAAAACCACACCACAUCGACUCAAAGACCUGACCCGUGCUUCUCCGUCGCCAUCACUAUCGAGUUCUCCAGAGAAGCUUACCGGAGCUCCGAUAAGUAACGAAACCCGUGGUCAAAACAGUCCAUAAAUUUUAGUUUAAUCGUCGGUCUUUUGGAUUUUGCAUUGAAUUACCGACUUGGGUUCGGAUUGAGUUCGUUGGUUCGAAGCUUGUGGAUUUGGUUUCGAUCGUUGCUGAUAUUCUAUGUAUUGUUGGAUUUUUAUUGAAAGAAAUGUGGUGGUUUAAAGCCUGAUUUGAGGUCCAACUCUAUUUCCUUCUCAUUUUAAUUUCAUUAUAUAUGCGUGAUUGAUUUGUGUGAAGCAUGAUAUGAAUAUUUGGUGAUAUCGUUUGUUUGUUUGGUUUCAUUGGCAAUGAUUGAGGAUUGUUAAAAUGGUGAUUGUGAAUUGUUGAUUUGGGGUCGAGAUCGAAAAUUGAUGAAAUGAAUAUGGAUUAGUCUUGAUUUAUUAUCG